CCUACGGGAGACAGCAGUGGGGAAUAUUGGGCAAUGGGCGCAAGCCUGACCCAGCAACGCCGCGUGAAGGAAGAAGGCUUUCGGGUUGUAAACUUCUUUUCUCAGGGACGAAGCAAGUGACGGUACUUGAGGAAUAAGCCACGGCUAACUACGUGCCAGCAGCCGCGGUAAUCCGUAGGUGGCAAGCGUUAUCCGGCUUUACUGGGUGUAAAGGGCGUGUAGGCGGGACUGCAAGUCAGAUGUGAAAACCACGGGCUCAACCUGUGGCCUGCAUUUGAAACUGUAGUUCUUGAGUACUGGAGAGGCAGGCGGAAUGCGUGGUGUAGCGGUGAAAUGCGUAGAUAUUAGGAGGAACGCCAGUGGCGAAGGCAGUCUGCUGGACAGCAACUGACGCUGAGGCGCGAAAGCGUGGGGAGCAAACAGGAUUAGAUACCCGAGUAGUC
rnacentral:rRNA from 1 species